rnacentral:rRNA from 1 species
UACGGAGGGAGCUAGCGUUGUUCGGAAUUACUGGGCGUAAAGCGCGCGUAGGCGGCUUUGUAAGUUAGAGGUGAAAGCCCGGGGCUCAACCCCGGAAUUGCCUUUAAGACUGCAUCGCUUGAAUCCGGGAGAGGUGAGUGGAAUUCCGAGUGUAGAGGUGAAAUUCGUAGAUAUUCGCAAGAACACCAGUGGCGAAGGCGGCUCACUGGCCCGAUACUGACGCUGAGGUGCGAAAGCGUGGGGAGCAAACAGG